rnacentral:rRNA from 1 species
AGAGUUUGAUCCUGGCUCAGGACGAACGCUGGCGGCGUGCUUAAUACAUGCAAGUCGAACGGAGUUAAGGGUUUCGGCCUUUAACUUAGUGGCGAACGGGUGAGUAACGCGUGAAUAACCUGACUCAAAGAGGGGGAUAACAACGGGAAACUGUUGCUAAUACCGCAUGAGACCACAACACCGCAUGAUGAAGGGGUCAAAGAUUUAUCGCUUUGAGAGGGGUUCGCGUCCCAUUAGGUAGUUGGAGGGGUAACGGCCCACCAAGCCAACGAUGGGUAGCCGAGCUGAGAGGCUGAUCGGCCACACUGGAACUGAGACACGGUCCAGACUCCUACGGGAGGCAGCAGUGGGGAAUAUUGGGCAAUGGACGCAAGUCUGACCCAGCAACGCCGCGUGAGGGAAGAAGGUUUUCGGAUUGUAAACCUCUGUCCUAUGUGACGAAGGAAGUGACGGUAGCAUAGGAGGAAGCCCCGGCUAACUACGUGCCAGCAGCCGCGGUAAUACGUAGGGGGCGAGCGUUGUCCGGAAUUACUGGGCGUAAAGGGUGCGUAGGCGGUUUGGUAAGUUGGAUGUGAAAUACCCGGGCUUAACUUGGGGGCUGCAUCCAAUACUGUCGGACUUGAGUGCAGGAGAGGAAAGCGGAAUUCCUAGUGUAGCGGUGAAAUGCGUAGAUAUUAGGAGGAACACCAGUGGCGAAGGCGGCUUGCUGGACGACAACUGACGCUGAGGCGCGAAAGCGUGGGGAGCAAACAGGAUUAGAUACCCUGGUAGUCCACGCUGUAAACGAUGAAUACUAGGUGUGGGGGGACUGACCCCUUCCGUGCCGCAGUUAACACAAUAAGUAUUCCACCUGGGGAGUACGACCGCAAGGUUGAAACUCAAAGGAAUUGACGGGGGCCCGCACAAGCAGUGGAUUAUGUGGUUUAAUUCGACGCAACGCGAAGAACCUUACAGGAUUUGACAUCCCACUAACGAAGUAGAGAUACAUUAGGUACCCUUCGGGGGAAGUGGAGACAGGUGGUGCAUGGUUGUCGUCAGCUCGUGUCGUGAGAUGUUGGGUUAAGUCCCGCAACGAGCGCAACCCCUAUUGUUAGUUGCUACGCAAGAGCACUCUAGCGAGACUGCCGUUGACAAAACGGAGGAAGGCGGGGACGACGUCAAAUCAUCAUGCCCCUUAUGUCCUGGGCUACACACGUAAUACAAUGGCGUUUAACAAAGGGAAGCGAAGCCGCGAGGUGGAGCAAAUCCCGAAAAGGCGUCUCAGUUCGGAUUGCAGGCUGCAACUCGCCUGCAUGAAGCUGGAAUUGCUAGUAAUCGUGGAUCAGCAUGCCACGGUGAAUACGUUCCCGGGCCUUGCACUCACCGCCCGUCA